UCGGCAAUGUACAGCUGAAGGAUGGGAUGGCGAGGUUCCAUCCUGUGAACCAAUAACCUGUGGUAACCCUGGAGUGAUUCUGAAUGGAUUUUAUACCGCACCAAAUAAAACAGUUGGAAAUAAAGUUACUUUUUAUUGUGACAUUGGAUACAAAAUGCUUGGUAGAGAUUAUCGGGAAUGUACAGCUGAG